rnacentral:rRNA from 1 species
CCUACGGGAGGCAGCAGUAGGGAAUCUUCCACAAUGGACGAAAGUCUGAUGGAGCAACGCCGCGUGAGCGAUGAAGGCCUUCGGGUCGUAAAGCUCUGUUGUUAGGGAAGAACAAGUACCGGAGUAACUGCCGGUACCUUGACGGUACCUAACCAGAAAGCCACGGCUAACUACGUGCCAGCAGCCGCGGUAAUACGUAGGUGGCAAGCGUUGUCCGGAAUUAUUGGGCGUAAAGCGCGCGCAGGCGGUCCUUUAAGUCUGAUGUGAAAGCCCACGGCUCAACCGUGGAGGGUCAUUGGAAACUGGGAGACUUGAGUGCAGAAGAGGAAAGUGGAAUUCCAUGUGUAGCGGUGAAAUGCGUAGAGAUAUGGAGGAACACCAGUGGCGAAGGCGACUUUCUGGUCUGUAACUGACACUGAGGCGCGAAAGCGUGGGGAGCAAACAGGAUUAGAUACCCUGGUAGUCCACGCCGUAAACGAUGAGUGCUAAGUGUUAGAGGGUUUCCGCCCUUUAGUGCUGAAGUUAACGCAUUAAGCACUCCGCCUGGGGAGUACGGCCGCAAGGCUGAAACUCAAAGGAAUUGACGG